rnacentral:rRNA from 1 species
CUACGGGAGGCUCCAGUGGGGAAUAUUGCACAAUGGGCGCAAGCCUGAUGCAGCCAUGCCGCGUGUAUGAAGAAGGCCUUCGGGUUGUAAAGUACUUUCAGCGGGGAGGAAGGGAGUAAAGUUAAUACCUUUGCUCAUUGACGUUACCCGCAGAAGAAGCACCGGCUAACUCCGUGCCAGCAGCCGCGGUAAUACGGAGGGUGCAAGCGUUAAUCGGAAUUACUGGGCGUAAAGCGCACGCAGGCGGUUUGUUAAGUCAGAUGUGAAAUCCCCGGGCUCAACCUGGGAACUGCAUCUGAUACUGGCAAGCUUGAGUCUCGUAGAGGGGCGUAGAAUUCCAGGUGUAGCGGUGAAAUGCGUAGAGAUCUGGAGGAAUACCGGUGGCGAAGGCGGCCCCCUGGACGAAGACUGACGCUCAGGUGCGAAAGCGUGGGGAGCAAACUGGCUUAGAUACCCGAGUAGUC